GACGAACGCUGGCGGCGUGCUUAACACAUGCAAGUCGAACGGAAAGGCCCUGCUUUUGUGGGGUGCUCGAGUGGCGUACGGGUGAGUAACACGUGAGUAACCUGCCCUUGACUUUGGGAUAACUUCAGGAAACUGGGGCUAAUACCGGAUAGGAGCUCCUGCUGCAUGGUGGGGGUUGGAAAGUUUCGGCGGUUGGGGAUGGACUCGCGGCUUAUCAGCUUGUUGGUGGGGUAGUGGCUUACCAAGGCUUUGACGGGUAGCCGGCCUGAGAGGGUGACCGGCCACAUUGGGACUGAGAUACGGCCCAGACUCCUACGGGAGGCAGCAGUGGGGAAUAUUGCACAAUGGGCGGAAGCCUGAUGCAGCAACGCCGCGUGCGGGAUGACGGCCUUCGGGUUGUAAACCGCUUUCGCCUGUGACGAAGCGUGAGUGACGGUAAUGGGUAAAGAAGCACCGGCUAACUACGUGCCAGCAGCCGCGGUGAUACGUAGGGUGCGGGCGUUGUCCGGAUUUAUUGGGCGUAAAGGGCUCGUAGGUGGUUGAUCGCGUCGGAAGUGUAAUCUUGGGGCUUAACCCUGAGCGUGCUUUCGAUACGGGUUGACUUGAGGAAGGUAGGGGAGAAUGGAAUUCCUGGUGGAGCGGUGGAAUGCGCAGAUAUCAGGAGGAACACCAGUGGCGAAGGCGGUUCUCUGGGCCUUUCCUGACGCUGAGGAGCGAAAGCGUGGGGAGCGAACAGGCUUAGAUACCCUGGUAGUCCACGCUGUAAACGGUGGGUACUAGGUGUGGGGUCCAUUCCACGGGUUCCGUGCCGUAGCUAACGCUUUAAGUACCCCGCCUGGGGAGUACGGCCGCAAGGCUAAAACUCAAAGGAAUUGACGGGGCCCCGCACAAGCGGCGGAGCAUGCGGAUUAAUUCGAUGCAACGCGUAGAACCUUACCUGGGUUUGACAUGGAUCGGGAGUGCUCAGAGAUGGGUGUGCCUCUUUUGGGGUCGGUUCACAGGUGGUGCAUGGCUGUCGUCAGCUCGUGUCGUGAGAUGUUGGGUUAAGUCCCGCAACGAGCGCAACCCUUGUUCACUGUUGCCAGCACGUUAUGGUGGGGACUCAGUGGAGACCGCCGGGGUCAACUCGGAGGAAGGUGGGGAUGACGUCAAGUCAUCAUGCCCCUUAUGUCCAGGGCUUCACGCAUGCUACAAUGGCUGGUACAGAGAGUGGCGAGCCUGUGAGGGUGAGCGAAUCUCGGAAAGCCGGUCUCAGUUCGGAUUGGGGUCUGCAACUCGACCUCAUGAAGUCGGAGUCGCUAGUAAUCGCAGAUCAGCAACGCUGCGGUGAAUACGUUCCCGGG
rnacentral:rRNA from 1 species